rnacentral:sRNA from 1 species
AGCAGCCGCGGUAAUUCCAGCUCCAAUAGCGUAUAUUAAAGUUGUUGCAGUUAAAAAGCUCGUAGUUGAAUUUCGGGGUUAGUAGGUUGGUCAUGCCUCUGGUAUGUACUGGUCUCACUGAUUCCUCCUUCCUGAUGAACCUUAAUGCCAUUAAUUUGGUGUUUUGGGGAAUUUGGACUGUUACUUUGAAAAAAUUUAGAGUGUUUAAAGCAAGCUAACGCUUGAAUACAUUAGCAUGGAAUAAUGAAAUAGGACGUUCGAUCCUAUUUUGUUGGUUUCUAGGAUUGACGUAAUGAUUAAUAGGGAUAGUUGGGGGCAUUAGUAUUCAAUUGUCAGAGGUGAAAUUCUUGGAUUUAUUGAAGACUAACUACUGCGAAAGCAUUUGCCAAGGAUGUUUUCAUUAAUCAAGAACGAAAGUUAGGGGAUCGAAGACGAUCAGAUACCGUCGUAGUCUUAACCAUAAACUAUGCCGACUAGGGAUCGGAUGAUGUUAAUUUUUUAAUGACUCAUUCGGCGCCUU